rnacentral:rRNA from 1 species
GACGAACGCUGGCGGCGUGCUUAACACAUGCAAGUCGAACGGAAAGGCCCUGCUUGCCGGGUACUCGAGUGGCGAACGGGUGAGUAACACGUGGGUGAUCUGCCCUGCACUUCGGGAUAAGCCUGGGAAACUGGGUCUAAUACCGGAUAGGAGCCAUUUUUAGUGUGAUGGUUGGAAAGUUUUUUCGGUGUAGGAUGAGCUCGCGGCCUAUCAGCUUGUUGGUGGGGUAAUGGCCUACCAAGGCGGCGACGGGUAGCCGGCCUGAGAGGGUGGACGGCCACAGUGGGACUGAGAUACGGCCCAGACUCCUACGGGAGGCAGCAGUGGGGGAUAUUGCACAAUGGGCGCAAGCCUGAUGCAGCGACGCCGCGUGGGGGAUGACGGCCUUCGGGUUGUAAACUCCUUUCGCUAGGGACGAAGCUUUUUGUGACGGUACCUAGAUAAGAAGCACCGGCUAACUACGUG